AAAACGUAGGGGACAAGCGUUAUCCGGAUUUACUGGGCGUAAAGCGCCCGUAGGCGGCUUUUUAAGUUGGACGUGAAAGCUCCCGGCUUAACUGGGAGAGGCCGUUCAAAACUGAGAAGCUCGAGUGAGGAAGAGGAGAGCAGAAUUCCCGGUGUAGUGGUGGAAUGCGUAGAGAUCGGGAGGAAUACCAGUGGCGAAAGCGGCUCUCUGGUCCUAAACUGACGCUGAGGGGCGAAAGCGUGGGGAGCGAACAGG
rnacentral:rRNA from 1 species